GAAGGCCAGUGAAUGGCAAGACUAGGAAUAACUAUACCAGAUAUGUUAAAAAAACUUUUCAUUUGAGUGAAAAGACUCAAAUUACUAAGGAAGACGAAAAGACCCCGCGGAGCUUUACCUAAAAAUUCUUAAAUAUAAUUUUUUAGAAUUAAAAAGUUUGAUUGGGGCAAUCUUGGAACCACAGCAACUUCCAAUUUUCUUAACAAAAACAUACAAAGCUUAAUAAGAACUAAAAAGCAGCUACCCCGGGGAUAACAGCGUUAUCCAACUUAAGAGUACAUAUCGAAAGUUGGGUUUGCGACCUCGAUGUUGGCUUAA
rnacentral:rRNA from 1 species